rnacentral:pre_miRNA from 1 species
AAAGUACUUCCUCCGUCCCAAAAUUCUUGUCUUAGACUUGUCUAGAUACGGAUGUAUCAAGUCACAUUUUAGUAUUAGAUACAUCCGUAUCUAGACAAAUCUAAGACAAGAAAUUUGGGACAGAGGGAGUAGUUG